rnacentral:rRNA from 1 species
UUGAACGCUGGCGGCAGGCCUAACACCUGCAAGUCGAGCGGAUGAAGGGAGCUUGCUCCUGGAUUCAGCGGCGGACGGGUGAGUAAUGCCUAGGAAUCUGCCUGGUAGUGGGGGAUAACGUCCGGAAACGGGCGCUAAUACCGCAUACGUCCUGAGGGAGAAAGUGGGGGAUCUUCGGACCUCACGCUAUCAGAUGAGCCUAGGUCGGAUUAGCUAGUUGGUGGGGUAAAGGCCUACCAAGGCGACGAUCCGUAACUGGUCUGAGAGGAUGAUCAGUCACACUGGAACUGAGACACGGUCCAGACUCCUACGGGAGGCAGCAGUGGGGAAUAUUGGACAAAGGGCGAAAGCCUGAUCCAGCCAUGCCGCGUGUGUGAAGAAGGUCUUCGGAUUGUAAAGCACUUUAAGUUGGGAGGAAGGGCAGUAAGUUAAUACCUUGCUGUUUUGACGUUACCAACAGAAUAAGCACCGGCUAACUUCGUG